AGUCAGCAGACUGUUGAUGGUUGCAACCAAACAACAUGCAAAGUUGCGUGUUUGCAAACGCAACCAGUCCUCUUGGCCAGGCUUUUGAAAGGAAACCCACUCAAGAAUGUGAAGUGUUACGAUUUGGUGGCACGGUUUUGGACGAUGGUUCAGCUUGGUGAGACAACAUGAGAGUUCUGAAGGAAAAUCCGAAGAACCAACAGGUUCUUGAUAAGCGAUUACCCAAGCAGGAGAACCUUGAUGACUUCGAGGGUUGAGCCAUGGUGGGAGCUGCUUGGUCGACCACUGAACCAAUCUGACUUGGUUGAACGGGUAGUGCGUCGACGUACCUUUCCGAAGAAAGUUCGCGAGCGCCUUUGACUUGACUUGGGUAUACCAUACGAUAGCUACCAUAUCGUAAUAAUUGUGUGCGCGUUUCUCUUUUGCUGUGAUAUUUGUGUUUAAGCCAACUGAAGGAAGGAUUUUUAUCGUUCUUGACUAGGAUUUCAUUAGGAAUAACAAGAGGGAGUAGCGCAAUGGGAGAGCGCAUGGAACCUCCAACGGUUCCAGGCCCCGACUUGGUGGGUGUUAACGUGGAAAGGCCGUCGGUAACUCAACAACAGCAACAGCAAUCAUCGCUGUGGAACCGCAGGCAGCAAGCCGUCUCUGUGCGGCAUGCUUACAAGCAUUACGGAUCGAACAAGAACCCGAACCAUGUGCUCAGCGACCUAAACAUGACUGUAGCCAAAGGAACCAUGUACGUAUACUUACAGUUUAGGCAGACGAUGCUUCUCUUAUAUUUGCAGGUGAAGACAGUCAAUCUGUCCGCACAACGCAAAAUAUGACUAAACAUUCAUUUGUAUAACCAUCUUGAAAAGGUGCGAAGCACGAAGUUUCUCGGGGUGAACAUUGAGCAAACUUUCAGCUGCUUAAAACUUAAGUGCAUCCUGUUUUCCGAUUCGAGGUCUAAAACCUUAUUUGCUGUCCAUUUAUUAUUCCCAAAAGUAUUUUCGCGUCUAAAAUACGGAAUUUUAUUUUGGGAGUCUUAUUCGCUCUUUUGUGGCUGUUAUUUACUCGAUUUCUGGCUGUUCCUGGCGUUUCCUAUGCAUUUUAUUACUAUGAUCUGGUCACUCAGCGCUCAGCUGUGGUCCUCGAAAAUGUCGACCAGAACCGCAUCUUAUUGCUUUAUAGAGCGUGGCUGCGAAGGGAAAGUGAAAUUAAUUGGAAUGGACUGAAUCAAUAUAACAAGAUUAUAUAAAUUUAGUGCGCUUGUUACACAUAUACAGGAUGUGCGUGCUAAUUGCAUAAUGCCACUCAAAAUGUUGCAGUUCGCAUUGUUUUCGGAUGGUGAAUCAAGAAAUUACUUUACGACACCCAGUAGAAAGUUUCAAAGCAUUUAAAUUUAAAAAGCGUUUUUUUAAUGCUGAUUUGCACUUUUACGGUUGGUUUUUUCGUUUGUCUUUAACUACCUUUCGCAUUGACAACUUCAUUUUUUGGAUGAUUUUUGAACAAUUGGUCUAAACUUUAUAAACCGCACAUGUUUUUUUGUCCACUUAGUUUUCAAUUUCUCGCAAAUACAUUUUCCAUAUUAAAAGCGAUGAAAGUUUUGUUGAAAGUUGAAGCGACGUGGAUUAGUUUUUCAUUUUUUAAUUGAUUUUGUGCGGAUUAUGUGGGCAAUUUUAUGUGCGGUUUAAGUAGGCUCUUUAAUGUUCUUGUAUGAUCUCAUUUACAAUAUUUUGAUUAGUUUUUUCCAAAAAAGUGAUAUUUUA